rnacentral:lncRNA from 10 species
UUUCAAUUAGCAAUAAUCAUGCCUCAUUGGCUAUAAUCCUGUCACUGUACAAAGCUGUCCAAUCAACUUUUAAACAUAUGCCAGCUGAUAGUGGGCAACUCUUUUCUGGGAGUUUGUUAUAAGGAGAUCACAUGAAAAAGCACCUUGGAGUGAGAGGUCUAUAGAAAACAAGGUACAGUGGCUGGGCGCGGUGGCUCACGCUUGUAAUCCCAGCACUUUGGGAGGCCGAGGUGGGUGGAUCACGAGGUCAGGAGUUCGAGACCAGCCUGACCCUGGUGAAACCCCUUCUCUACCAAAAAUACAAAAUUAGCUGGGCGUGGUGGUGCAAUGCCUGUAUUCCCAGCUACUCGGGAGGCUGAGGCAGAAGAAUUGCUUAAACCUGGGAGUGAGCUGAGAUCACGCCAUUGCACACCCGCCUGGGCAGCAAGAGCAAAACUCCAUCUCAAAAACAAAAACGAAAACAAAAAAACAAACAAACAAAAAUACAAGGCACAGUAGCUCCCGGUUAUCCACAAGGGAUACAUUCAUAGAUCCCCAGAGGAUGCCUGAAAUCAUGGAUAGUAUCGAACCCUAUGUAUACUUUUUCCUAUACACAUGUAUCUAUAAUAACGUUAAAUUUAUAAAUUAGAUUCAGUAAGAGAUUAUCAACAGUCUAAUAAAAUAGAACAAUUAUAAAAAUACACUGUAAUAAAAGUUACAUGACUGUGGUCUCUCUCAAAAUAGAGUAUUUUAUUGUGUUGUACUGUGGGUAAGUGAAACUGCAGAAAACAAAACCCAGGAUUAGGGUAGGGUGGACUACUGCAGUGCUCUUGGUUGGCUGCCCGCCCAGCAUCUAUUCCUCCUUCCAGAAAAACUGACAUUUCAUUCAAGAAUUCACCUUUUUCCCGUGCCCAGCUCCAGGACAGUCCUAAGUGAUCUAAAGAAAAUUCCAUCCUCCUUGUCAAUGUUUGGUUCAGAAAUGACCAUGUUACAUUUUGGAUCAGGAAAAACAGACGAGAGGAUUGCUAGAGGCUUUUCAGAAUUUAUUCUGGGAAUAAGGCUCUCUUAUUUUUCUGGGAAAGGUCCUGAGCCAUCUCCUCUUUCCACCUGGCGGUGAAUGAGGAAGCAAGAAACCUUGGGAGUGGUUCAUCAGAUGAAAGCCACAGGAUGAAGCUGACAUUGAAUGUCAGGGGGGACCCACGGAAAGAAUCUGAGUCCUUGACAGUAUUAGUGACCUUUUGCAGAAGUCAACUUGGAAGGCUACCCCACCUUUGGACUUCCAGUUAGGUUAGCUGAUGCAUUUUCUUAAUGUUUAAGCCAACUUGAAAUGGGUUUCCUGUUAAUUGUAGCCAAAAGUAUGCUGAGUGCCAAGAUAAUCUUACCAUCAUUGUGAUAUGAUGAUGUUGUUAUUUUUAAGACAGUCAUCUAGAAAAAAGUAAUAUACAAAAUGAUAUACAUACCAUGAUUGCAAUCAUAAGUUAAAACAAAUUGGAAGAUGUGCCAAAAUUAGCAAUGCUUGCCUCUGAGUGGAUUUCCCCCUAUUUCUAUGACUUGAACUUUAUUUUACAUAUUUUCUACAUUGAUUCUGAGUGAUGUAUCAAGAAAAAUAUGCACAAGAGAUAAGCUCAGAAGACAAAAUGGGCCCAGGCACGGUGGCUCAUGCCUGUAAUCCCAGUAUUUUGGGAAGCUGAGGCAGGAGGAUAGCUUGAGACCAGGAGUUCGAGACCAUGGUCAAUAGAGCAACACCCUGUCUCUAUUUAUAAAAAUAAGUAAAUAAAUAUAAAAAAUAAAAAAAUAAAGAGACAAAGU